UACGUAGGGACCAAGCGUUGUUCGGAUUUACUGGGCGUAAGGGCGCGUAGGCGGCGCGGUAAGUCACUUGUGAAAUCUCUGAGCUUAACUCAGAACGGCCAAGUGAUACUGCAGUGCUAGAGUGUGGAAGGGGCAAUCGGAAUUCUUGGUGUAGCGGUGAAAUGCGUAGAUAUCAAGAGGAACACCUGAGGUGAAGACGGGUUGCUGGGCCAACACUGACGCUGAGGCGCGAAAGCGUGGGGAGCGAUCCGG
rnacentral:rRNA from 1 species